AGAGAUUAGCUCAAUGGUAGAGCGGCUGUUUAACACACAGAUUGUUUGGGGUUCGAAUCCCAUAUUUUCUGC
rnacentral:tRNA from 1 species